UUGCGGCCACAUACCAUUGAAACACCGACUCCUGUACGAUCACCGAAGUUAAGCAACAUCUAGCCUGGUCAGUACCGAGAUAGAUAACCGUUUGGGAAUACCAUAUGCU